UACGGGGGGGGCAAGCGUUGUUCGGAAUUACUGGGCGUAAAGGGCUCGUAGGUGGCCAACUAAGUCAGACGUGAAAUCCCUCGGCUUAACCGGGGAACUGCAUCUGAUACUGGAUGGCUUGAGUUCGGGAGAGGGAUGCGGAAUUCCAGGUGUAGCGGUGAAAUGCGUAGAUAUUGGGAAGAACACCGGUGGCGAAGGCGGCUAUCUGGCCCGUAAUUGACGCUGAGGCGCGAAAGCGUGGGGAGCAAACAGG
rnacentral:rRNA from 1 species